ensembl:lncRNA
GCUUAAAAAAAACGCUUAAAAACAACGCUUAAAAAAAACGCUUAAAAAACGCCUAAAAACAACGCUUAAAAAACGCCUAAAAACAACGCUUAAAAAACGCCUAAAAAAAAAAAAAAAAAAAAAAAAAAAAAAAAAAAAAAAAAAAAAAAUGAAAAAAAAAAAAAAACCAAAUUUUUUUUUUUUUUUUUUUUUUUUUUUUUUUUUUUUUUUUUUUUUUUAAUUUCCUCUAUGUUUUAAUUUAAUAAGUAAUAUAAACAUAUAAUAUACUUAUUAUUAUGAUAUACAUGAGUGUCACUAUUUAAACACAUAGGACAAAAGACAUAUAGUGAAAACAAAACAUAUCUAAAUAGAUUUGAACGACUCCAAAUUUAUGGUACAUCAUUUUCAUCCGCUAUAUAUAUAUAUAUAUAUAUAUAUAUAUAUAUAUAUUUUUUUUUUUUUUUUUUUUUUUUUGUGUGUAUGUAAAGUUUAACCGCUUUGAUUGUUUAACCCUUUUGAUUGUUUAACCUGAGUGUUUCCUAGCACAUUUUAUUUUUUUCUAUUUCAUUUUUUUUUACCACUUCAAUUUGCUCUAUUUUAUUUUAUUUUUUUGGUAAUAAAACUUGAUGAUUUUGCGUGAUAUAAUUUUUUUUUAAUAUUACUAAUGUUUUAUAAAAAAAAAAAAAAAAAAAAAUGUAAAAAUAUUUGUUUUGUCUGGUAAAAUAUAUUUAUGCAUUGUGUAUGUACGUUUGCAUAUACAUUUGUAACUGUAAAUAUAAAUAAUAGAUACAUAAUUACAUAUUUAGACAUAUAUACGGCUGAAAAAAGCAAAAGGAAAAGUAAAAAAAUGGAUAUGAAUUUAUACAUUCACAGUGUUGAAAUUGAGUUUAUAAAAACUCCCCAAUAUUAUUAUAACAAUACAGAAAAACCAGAACAAAACAUAGUUUAUUGUUUACAUAUAAAAGUAGAAAGUAAUUUGGGUGAAGAAAAAAAAGAAAUAAAAAAUGAAAGAUGUUAUGAAACACCAUGGUAUAUGUGUAUUCAACAGGAAAAUACUGAAGUUUGUAUGAUGUCUUAUGAAAUGAAUAUUUCGUAUGUGUUUAAUUUAUUAGAAAAUAAUGAAAAACUAUUUCUGUACGUCUUAAGAAAGAAUCUAGAAAAAGAAAAAGUUGAAUACCUCCAAAGAAAUGAACUAAACAUAAAAGAUAAAAUAUAUUAUAAUAAUAAUAAUUGUAUAUAUUUUCAAAAUGAUAAAAUAAAAGGAAAAAUAAAAUUAUAUAUAAAAAAUGGAAUAAUAGAUAAUCAUCUAAUAAAUAAAAUAAAAUUUAAUGAGUUUUUAAAAAAUGCAAAUUUUGAAAAAGACUUAUUAAAUAGUUUUGAGAAAAAUAUGGAUCUACAGUUAGAAGAUAAAAACGACAUGAAUGACAAUACGAAUUUAUAUUUAAACAAUAUUGUUCACUUACCUAGUAAGAAUAAUGAAAAUAAUUUAUAUGACACAUAUACAGGAUUAAUUCAUAAAAAUAAUGAAGAAUAUAUUAAUAAUAGUAAUAAUACAGUUUAUGGUGAAAAUAACAUUUAUACACAACCAGUUAUAAGAACAGAUAUAAAAAAGUUAUUAGAUGUGAAUGUAACCUUAUAUUGGGUUUACUUAGAUGAUAAUAAUAAUGAACAAGGACCAUUUAAUAGUUAUACAAUUUUUAAUUGGGUAGCUAAUGAAUAUUUCGAAGAUAACACUUUAAUAAGAUUACAUAAUCAAAAACAUUUUUAUAAAUUAUAUGAAGUUAUUGAAUGUAUUGAAAAAAAUGUUCUGUUGAACUCGGAAACAUACAAUUUAUAUACUGAAACUAUGGAUACAGAAAGAAAACGAACCAAUUUAUCAGAUUGUGAAGACAUACUAAAAAGCGGGAUUAAUCACGAGGCAGAAGCAGGUGCGGAUGUGGAUGUGGAUGUGGAUGCGGAUGUGGAUGUGGAUGCGGAUGUGGAUGCGGAAGUGGAUGCGGAAGUGGAUGCGGAUGCGGAUGUGGAUGUGGAUGUGGAUGUGGAUGUGGAUGCGGAUGUGGAUGCGGAUGUAGAUGCGGAAGUGGAUGCGGAUGUGGAUGCGGAUGCGGAUGCGGAUGUGGAUGCGGAUGUGGAUGUGGAUGCGGAUGUGAAUGCGGAUGUGGAUGCAGAUGUGGAUGCGGAUGUGGAUGCGGAUGUAGAUGCGGAAGUGGAUGCGGGUGCGGGUGCGGGUGCGGGUGCGGGUGCGGAUGUGGAUGCGGAUGUGGAUGCGGAUACGAAUACAAAUACAAAUACAAAUACAAAUACAAAUACAAAUAUAAAUACAAAUAUAAAUACAAAUACGAAUACAAAUACAAAUACAAAUACAAAUACAAAUACAAAUAUAAAUACAAAUACGAAUACGAAUACGAAUACGAAUACGAAUACGAAUACGAAUACGAAUACCAAUACGAAUACGAAUACGAAUACGAAUACGAAUACAAAUAUAAAUACAAAUACGAAUACCAAUACGAAUACAAAUAUGUUGGACAAAGAAAAAAACAAUUAUAACUACAUGAGUAUAAAUAAAGAAUAUUUAAAAAGGGAAAGUGAGUGUUAUGAUAAGAGUUGUGGAACGAUCGAACUUGUUAAUGAAAAAAUUAGUGGAACGACCGAAAUUGGUAUUGAAAAAAAUAGUGGCACUCUCCAAAGUAUCGACGAAAAACAAGAAGAAGAAGAAGAAAAAAAAAUCGCAUGUCUUAAAAAAAUGGAAGAUGAGCAUUUUGAAAAUACGCCUAACGAAAAAAAAAAUAGUAUUAACAAUGUUAAAAAUAUAAAAAAAAAAAAAAAUGAACUAAAAAGGUUAAAAAGGGAAAUUAAAAAAAUUAAACAGGAGAUGGUUAAACUAGCAGAAAAAAGUGACGCGAUGAAGAGAAUAAAUACAAAUAAAGGCGAUAUAAAUAAAGGCAAUAUAAAAAAAGAAGAUAUAAAUAAAGGCAAUAUAAAAAAAGACGAUAUAAAUAAAGGCGACACAAAUAAAGACAACAUAAAUGGUAAUUUUAACGAGAGCAAUUUUAACGAGAGCAAUUUUAACGAGAACAAUUUUAACGAACACAAUUUUAACGAGAACANNNNNNNNNNAAAAAAUAUAAUAGUGUGAAUACUGUAAAAUUAAAAAUAAAAGAAAAUUAUAAAAAACA